CCUACGUGAGGCAGCAGUAGGGAAUAUUGCUCAAUGUGGGAAACCCUGAAGCAGCAACGCCGCGUGGAGGAUGAAGGUUUUCGUAUUGUAAACUCCUUUUGUUAGAGAAGAUAAUGACGGUAUCUAACGAAUAAGCACCGGCUAACUCCGUGCCAGCAGCCGCGGUAAUACGGAGGGUGCAAGCGUUACUCGGAAUCACUGGGCGUAAAGAGCGCGUAGGCGGGAUAGCAAGUCAGAUGUGAAAUCCUCUGGCUUAACCAUAGAACUGCAUUUGAAACUGUUAUUCUAGAGUAUGGGAGAGGUAGGUGGAAUUCUUGGUGUAGGGGUAAAAUCCGUAGAGAUCAAGAGGAAUACUCAUUGCGAAGGCGACCUGCUAGAACAUAACUGACGCUGAUGCGCGAAAGCGUGGGGAGCAAACAGGAUUAGAUACCCGAGUAGUC
rnacentral:rRNA from 1 species